rnacentral:rRNA from 1 species
GAUGAACGCUGGCGGCGUGCCUAAUACAUGCAAGUCGAGCGAACGGACGAGAAGCGUGCUUCUCUGAUGUUAGCGGCGGACGGGUGAGUAACACGUGGAUAACCUACCUAUAAGACUGGGAUAACUUCGGGAAACCGUAGCUAAUACCGGUUAAUAUUUUGAACGGCAUGGUUCAAAAGUGAAAGACGGUCUUGCUGUCACUUAUACAUGGAUCCGCGCUGCAUUAGCUAGUUGGUAAGGUAACGGCUUACCAAGGCAACGAUGCAUAGCCGACCUGAGAGGGUGAUCGGCCACACUGGAACUGAGACACGGUCCAGACUCCUACGGGAGGCAGCAGUAGGGAAUCUUCCGCAAUGGGCGAAAGCCUGACCGAGCCACGCCGCGUGAGUGAUGAAGGUCUUCGGAUCGUAAAACUCUGUUAGUUGGGAAGAACAUAUGUAUGAUUAACUCUGCCCAUCUUGACGGUACCUACACAGAAAGCCCCGGCUAACUACGUG